rnacentral:rRNA from 1 species
ACGAACGCUGGCGGCAUGCCUAACACAUGCAAGUCGAACGAGACCUUCGGGUCUAGUGGCGCACGGGUGCGUAACGCGUGGGAAUCUACCCUUGGGUUCGGAAUAACUCAGAGAAAUUUGAGCUAAUACCGGAUGAUGUCGCAAGACCAAAGAUUUAUCGCCCAAGGAUGAGCCCGCGUAGGAUUAGCUUGUUGGUGAGGUAAAAGCUCACCAAGGCGACGAUCCUUAGCUGGUCUGAGAGGAUGAUCAGCCACACUGGGACUGAGACACGGCCCAGACUCCUACGGGAGGCAGCAGUGGGGAAUAUUGGACAAUGGGCGAAAGCCUGAUCCAGCAAUGCCGCGUGAGUGAUGAAGGCCUUAGGGUUGUAAAGCUCUUUUACCCGGGAUGAUAAUGACAGUACCGGGAGAAUAAGCCCCGGCUAACUCCGU